CCGGGUGUUAUUUGUCUUGCGACCAUAAGAAAUAUUUUUUGUAAACAUAGUUGUCUAUGUAUUAAUAAACAACAAAGUCAAAACAGCUCUCACGAAGCUACACGGGUCUGUACUCCACAUAUUACGACAUGUUUGUUGGUCUUGCAAGUAUAAAGUACUCAUGUUAAUCUCUAUUUCAUUGGUAAGUGCGUCAUAUCUCUGUUUUCACACUCGAACAACCGGGACGUCAGACUGUGGUCGCGAGGUUUGCUACAGAAAGUGGAAGGUUUCGGUAUCCCUGCGAUCGACACCCCUCGUCACCGCCAAAAAGCCUUCUCGGUAUACAUAGACCUGUAGGUAGCCACACGCCACGCGAUAGUUUGAUCUGAUGUUUGCUUGACAAUCACAUAGACAUCAACAGCAGCCAUUGGUGCUACUGCUAAUACUAUAACUACUGCAAAUAGGAAAAGAAGAAAAGGAUAUCCGAAUGAUAGUGUAUGACGUAAGAGGGACAUCAUCUGGCACUUGUUGUUACCGAAGCCAGCCAAUAAGAGAAAAGUCCACCACUGAUUCUGCGUACAAGAAGUCUAAGGUUAUUAUUGCAGCUGGUGUAGCGCCUGCUAUUCGUCGACUGUUAAUGGAUCGCCUUCACCGCUGUACUCACCAUCGCUACGCUGCUGUUCACCGAGACUUUGGCGACUUCCGAGCAGACGCGCAGAGCCGGCAGUUUCCCGCCAAACACUUCAUCUUCUGACAUCUUCUAUGCGUCAGACUAAUCCCCAGAACAACAGCUCUCGACCUCAUUCACUUGACCAUUAUCUCUGCUAGCUACCUACAGCCCUUAGAUGGGCACUCCUUCUUCGCGAAACUGUUUUGCGGUGGCUGUGUGUCGCACCUUAACUGGGCACUUCAGAGAACUCCGGAUGCUGUCUUUGAUACGAAAACAGUAAAGCAAUGUUGGUUAAACUUAA